UUUAUUUCUUUAGUAGCUCUUAAAAUUUCUGUCACAUCGAAUAUUUAGAUACUAAUUAGGAGUAUUAAAUAUAGACUAAUUACAAAACUAAUUGCACAGAUGGAGACUAAUUUGCGAGACGAAUCUAUUAAGCCCAAUUAGUCCAUGAUUUGACAAUCUGAUGCUACAGUAAACAUGUGCUAAUGAUGGAUUAAUUAGGCUUAAUAGAUUCGUCUCGUGAAUUAGCCUCCAUUUGUGUAAUUAGUUUUAUAAUUAGCUCAUGUUUAGUCCUCCUAAUUAGCCUUCGAAUAUUCGAUGUGAUAUAAAUUUUAGUCGGGAUUAAAGAUCCAAACACCUCCUAGCAUAAGAAGUACACGUAAAAUAGAGGCACAAAUAUUCCUAGAAUGAUUCCAGAUUCCUCUAUACGGAUCGCCGCAAAAUUUAGUGAAGUAGUACCUCUUGCACAUCUACGCUCUUUAUAAAAACAGAGUAAGUUUGUUUCGUUCUAGGUAUUGUAUUUGCUCUUGUAGCA
rnacentral:lncRNA from 1 species